rnacentral:sRNA from 1 species
CUCCAGCGUAGCGUCAACGAGGAGAGGA